rnacentral:rRNA from 1 species
AGGAUGAACGCUGGCGGUCUGCUUAACACAUGCAAGUCGAACGGAGUACCUCGGUACUUAGUGGCGGACGGGUGAGUAACGCGUGAGAAUCUGCCCUUAGGUCGGGGACAACCAUUGGAAACGAUGGCUAAAUACCGGAUAAGCCGAGAGGUAAAAGAUUAAUUGCCUAGGGAAGAGCUCGCGUCUGAUUAGCUAGUUGGUGAGGUAAAGGCUCACCAAGGCAUCGAUCAGUAGC